UAAAUGACUCUCGGCAACGGAUAUCUCGGCUCUCGCAUCGAUGAAGAACGUAGCGAAAUGCGAUACUUGGUGUGAAUUGCAGAAUCCCGUGAACCAUCGAGUCUUUGAACGCAAGUUGCGCCCGAAGCCACCAGGCUGAGGGCACGUCUGCCUGGGCGU
rnacentral:rRNA from 1 species